ensembl:snoRNA
AUGCAGGCCGUUCAGCGAGGUUUGGCCUGUAGUGGCUCUGUCCUUUCCUGUAGUGUCUGCUAGAUAGAAGUGGGGUGGUUUGAGACCCUGCCGUGUCUCCACCACGGAAAGGUUACAGUUAAGCCUCACACGUCA